rnacentral:rRNA from 1 species
AACGAACGCUGGCGGCAGGCCUAACACAUGCAAGUCGAGCGGAUCCUUCGGGAUUAGCGGCGGACGGGUGAGUAACGCGUGGGAAUAUGCCCUUCUCUACGGAAUAGCCUCGGGAAACUGAGAGUGAUACCGUCUACGCCCUUUGGGGGAAAGAUUUAUCGGAGAAGGAUUAGCCCGCGUUGGAUUAGGUAGUUGGUGGGGUAAUGGCCUACCAAGCCUACGAUCCAUAGCUGGUUUGAGAGGAUGAUCAGCCACACUGGGACUGAGACACGGCCCAGACUCCUACGGGAGGCAGCAGUGGGGAAUCUUAGAAAAUGGGGGCAACCCUGAUCUAGCCAUGCCGCGUGAGUGAUGAAGGCCUUAGGGUUGUAAAGCUCUUUCAGCUGGGAAGAUAAUGACGGUACCAGCAGAAGAAGCCCCGGCUAACUCCGUGCCAGCCGCCGCAGUAACAC